UUUUCGGGGUUAAUGGGGUAGAGGGAGGCCCAGCAGCUAACAGCAGCUCCACUUAACCAGAGCACUGUGUAUUUUAUGAGGCAUGGCCUUGUCAUUAUCAGGCAUGUUUCCAUUGCAUAUACUUGAUGUUGGGGGCUCCACUCCAGAGGGAAGCUUUCAUGGUUAAGUAGCAGUCCCUCCCUCCAGCUCAGUUUGCAUGUUGAGGCAGGCCUCGCCCCUGGAGGAGAAAUUAAAGGCACUGGUUUUUACUGUUUUUAUAAGCACUGUUUAUCAAAUCAGGAUGUCCUCAUCCUCAACUUGUAAAUCAAAUCAGGAUAUACACUCCUCAGGAAAACUGAAACAGCGAAGAUGGAACAGCAUCUAGUCUAAUGGUGAACACUUGUGUGUGAUGUAAAAUGUGGAGUAAUGUAGAAACUAUGGUAGAGUAUGUUCAUGAACGAUGGAUCACUACUUCGGAGAGAGAGUACUCAUAGGGCAGAGUCAUGUCAUUCGAGAUCGAAGACGAUAUUCAACGUUUGUCCAGGUCGAAAAGACGUCGGGAGAUGACUUCAAAAACACCACACUAUAAAUACAAAGGUAUGUGGACAAUCCUUCAAAUUAGUGGAUUCGGCUAUUUCAGCCACACCCGUUGCUGACAGGUGUAUAAAAUUGAGCACACAGCCAUGCAAUCUCCAUAGACAAACAUUGACAGUAGAAUGGCCUUACUAAACAGCUCAGUGACUUUCAACGUGUCACCGUCAUGGGAUGCCACCUUUCCAACAAGCCAGUUAAUCAAAUGUCUGCCCCGGUCAACUGUAAGUGAUGUUACAGCUCAGCCUCGAAGUGGUAGGCUACACAAGCUCACAGAGUAGGACCGCCGAGUGCUGAAGCGCAUAGCACGUAAAAAUCAUCUGUCCUCGGUUGUAACACUCACCACAGAGUUCCAUACUGCCUCUGGAAGCAACGUCAGCACAAUAACUGUUAGUCGGGAGCUUCAUGGAAUGGGUGUCCAUGGCCAAGCAGCCACACACAAGCCUAAAAUCACCAUGCGCAAUGCCAAGCAUCGGCUGGAGUGGUGUAAAGCUUGCCGCCAUCUGGAGUGAUUAAUUACAUCUGGUAGUCCAUCUGGUAGUCCAACGGACAAAUCUGGGUUUGACGGAUGCCAGGAUAGUGCUACCUGCCCCAAUGCGUAGUGCCAACUGUAAAGUUUGGUGGAGGAAGAAUAAUGGUCUGCGGCGGAUUUUCAUGGUUCGGGCUAGGCCCUUCAGUUCCAUUGAAGCGAAAACGCUACAGCAUACAACGACAUUCUAGACGAUUCUGUGCUUCCAACUUUGUGGCAACAGUUUGGGGUCCUUUCCUGUUUUAGCAUGACAAUGCCCUCGUGCAC
rnacentral:lncRNA from 13 species